UGGUGGGUAGUUUGACUGGGGCGGUCUCCUCCCAAAGCGUAACGGAGGAGCACGAAGGUUAGCUAAUCCUGGUCGGACAUCAGGAGGUUAGUGCAAUGGCAUAAGCUAGCUUGACUGCGAGCGUGACGGCGCGAGCAGGUGCGAAAGCAGGUCAUAGUGAUCCGGUGGUUCUGAAUGGAAGGGCCAUCGCUCAACGGAUAAAAGGUACUCCGGGGAUAACAGGCUGAUACCGCCCAAGAGUUCAUAUCGACGGCGGUGUUUGGCACCUCGAUGUCGGCUCAUCACAUCCUGGGGCUGAAGUAGGUCCCAAGGGUAUGGCUGUUCGCCAUUUAAAGUGGUACGCGAGCUGGGUUUAGAACGUCGUGAGACAGUUCGGUCCCUAUCUGCCGUGGGCGCUGGAGAAUUGAGGGGGGCUGCUCCUAGUACGAGAGGACCGGAGUGGACGCAUCACUGGUGUUCGGGUUGUCAUGCCAAUGGCACUGCCCGGUAGCUAAAUGCGGAAGAGAUAAGUGCUGAAAGCAUCUAAGCACGAAACUUGCCCCGAGAUGAGUUCUCCCUGAGACUUUAAGUCUCCUGAAGGAACG
rnacentral:rRNA from 1 species